GGCCAGGUGGUGAAAUUGGUAUACACGCUACUUUGAGGGGGUAGUGGGAGCAAUCCCGUGUGAGUUCGAGUCUCAUCCUGGUCA
rnacentral:tRNA from 1 species